CAAUGAAGGAAGCAUGAUAAUGUGCACAUAAAUUGAAUUGGGUCUCUAGGCCUGGCAUCUCUGAUGCCAUUUGGCUUUGAUUUGGGGGCAUGGUUCCUUAGCAAAACA